UCUAGGACAAUGGGGGGGGGGCAUGAUCCACCAAUGCCGCUAGACCGAUUAAGUCCGUAGGGUAGUAAAGCUCUUUUACCCAGGAGGAUAAUGACAGUACCUGGAGAAUAAGCUCCGGCUAACUCCGUGCCAGCAGCCGCGGUAAUACGGAGGGAGCGAGCGUUCUUCGGAAUUACUGGGCGUAAAGGGUACGCAGGCGGUUAUUCAAGUCAGAGGUGAAAUCCCCGGGCUCAACCCCGGAACUGCCUUUGAAACUAGAUAACUAGAGUCUUGUAGAGGUUGAUGGAAUUCCGAGUGUAGCGGUGAAAUUCGUAGAUAUUCGGAAGAACACCAAUGGCGAAGGCAACUACCGGACAAGUACUGACGCUGAGCACGGAG
rnacentral:rRNA from 1 species